CGGCUCAGUAACACGUGGACAACCUACCCUAUGGAGGGGGAUAACCCCGGGAAACUGGGGAUAAUACCCCAUAGACUAUAGAUGCUGGAAUGCUUUGUAGUUGAAAGGUCCGCCGCCAUAGGAUGGGUCUGCGGCCGAUUAGGUUGUUGUUGGGGUAACGGCCCAACAAGCCUGUAAUCGGUACGGGUUGUGGGAGCAAGAGCCCGGAGAUGGAUUCUGAGACACGAGUCCAGGCCCUACGGGGCGCAGCAGGCGCGAAAACUUUACAAUGCGGGAAACCGUGAUAAGGGAACUCCGAGUGCCCGUAAAAUCGGGCUGUCCAUCUGUUUAAAUAACAGGUGAAGAAAGGGCCGGGCAAGACCGGUGCCAGCCGCCGCGGUAAUACCGGCGGCUCGAGUGGUGGCCACUAUUACUGGGCUUAAAGCGUUCGUAGCUGGUCUGUUAAGUCUCUGGGGAAAUCUACUGGCUUAACCAAUAGGCGUCUCAGGGAUACUGGCAGACUAGGGACCGGGAGAGGUGAGAGGUACUCCAGGGGUAGGAGUGAAAUCCUGUAAUCCUUGGGGGAC
rnacentral:rRNA from 1 species